GAUGAACGCCGGCGGCGUGCCUAAUACAUGCAAGUCGAGCGAACAGACGAGGAGCUUGCUCCUCUGACGUUAGCGGCGGACGGGUGAGUAACACGUGGAUAACCUACCUAUAAGACUGGGAUAACUUCGGGAAACCGGAGCUAAUACCGGAUAAUAUAUUGAACCGCAUGGUUCAAUAGUGAAAGACGGUUUUGCUGUCACUUAUAGAUGGAUCCGCGCCGCAUUAGCUAGUUGGUAAGGUAACGGCUUACCAAGGCAACGAUGCGUAGCCGACCUGAGAGGGUGAUCGGCCACACUGGAACUGAGACACGGUCCAGACUCCUACGGGAGGCAGCAGUAGGGAAUCUUCCGCAAUGGGCGAAAGCUUGACGGAGCAACGCCGCGUGAGUGAUGAAGGUCUUCGGAUCGUAAAACUCUGUUAUUAGGGAAGAACAAAUGUGUAAGUAACUAUGCACGUCUUGACGGUACCUAAUCAGAAAGCCACGGCUAACUACGU
rnacentral:rRNA from 1 species